GACGAACGCUGGCGGCGUGCUUAACACAUGCAAGUCGAGCGAUGAAGUUUUUUCGGAAAUGGAUUAGCGGCGAACGGGUGAGGAACACGUGAAGAAUCUGCCCUCCACUUUGGGAUAACACAGGGAAACCUGUGCUAAUACCGAAUAUUGAAACAUAAGUGGCAUCACUGAGUUUUGAAAGAAUUUCGGUGGAGGAUGACUUCGCGGCCUACCAGCUAGUUGGUGAGGUAAUGGCUCACCAAGGCAACGACGGGUAGCCGGCCUGAGAGGGCGACCGGCCACAAUGGGACUGAAACACGGCGCAGAGUCCUACGGGAGGCAGCAGUGGGGAAUAUUGGGCAAUGGAGGAAACUCUGACCCAGCGACGCCGCGUGCGGGAUGAAGGCCUUCGGGUUGUAAACCGCUUUCAGUAGGGAAGAAGCGAAAGUGACGGUACCUACAAAAGAAGCACCGGCUAACUAUGUGCCAGCCGCCGCCGUAA
rnacentral:rRNA from 1 species